rnacentral:rRNA from 1 species
UGGUUAAGUUAAUAAGGGCGCACGGUGGAUGCCUUGGCACUAGGAGCCGAAGAAGGACGGCACUAACACCGAUAUGCCUCGGGGAGCUGUAAGUGAGCUGUGAUCCGGGGAUUUCCGAAUGGGGAAACCCACUGUUCGUAAUGGAGCAGUAUCCAUGUGUGAAUUCAUAGCACAUGAGAAGGCAGACUCAGGGAACUGAAACAUCUAAGUACCUGAAGGAAGAGAAAGCAAAUGCGAUUCCCCAAGUAGCGGCGAGCGAAACGGGAUCAGCCCAAACCAGAAGGCUUGCCUUCUGGGGUUGUAGGACACUCUAUACGGAGUUACAAAGGAACGGAUUAAGCGAAGCGACCUGGAACGGUCCGCGAGACAGGGUAACAGCCCCGUAGCUGAAAGUUCGUUCCCUCCAGAGUGGAUCCUGAGUACGGCGGAACACGAGAAAUUCCGUCGGAAUCCGGGAGGACCAUCUCCCAAGGCUAAAUACUCCCUAGUGACCGAUAGUGAACCAGUACCGUGAGGGAAAGGUGAAAAGCACCCCGGAAGGGGAGUGAAAUAGAUCCUGAAACCGUGUGCCUACAAGUAGUUAGAGCCCGUUAAUGGGUGAUAGCGUGCCUUUUGUAGAAUGAACCGGCGAGUUACGAUUACAUGCAAGGUUAAGG